rnacentral:rRNA from 1 species
CCUACGGGGGGCAGCAGUGAGGAAUAUUGGUCAAUGGACGAGAGUCUGAACCAGCCAAGUAGCGUGAAGGAUGACUGCCCUAUGGGUUGUAAACUUCUUUUAUAUGGGAAUAAAAUGUUCCACGUGUGGGAUUUUGUAUGUACCAUAUGAAUAAGGAUCGGCUAACUCCGUGCCAGCAGCCGCGGUAAUACGGAGGAUCCGAGCGUUAUCCGGAUUUAUUGGGGUUAAAGGGAGCGUAGGUGGAUUGUUAAGUCAGUUGUGAAAGUUUGCGGCUCAACCGUAAAAUUGCAGUUGAAACUGGCAGUCGUGAGUACAGUAGAGGUGGGCGGAAUUCGUGGUGUAGCGGUGAAAUGCUUAGAUAUCACGAAGAACUCCGAUUGCGAAGGCAGCUCACUGGACUGCAACUGACACUGAGGCUCGAAAGUGUGGGUAUCAAACAGGAUUAGAUACCCCUGUAGUC